rnacentral:rRNA from 1 species
AGAGUUUGAUCCUGGCUCAGGACGAACGCUGGCGGCAGUGCUUAACACAUGCAAGUCGAACGGAAAGGCCCUGCUUUUGUGGGGUGCUCGAGUGGCGAACGGGUGAGUAACACGUGAGUAACCUGCCCUUGACUUUGGGAUAACUUCAGGAAACUGGGGCUAAUACCGGAUAGGAGCUCCUGCUGCAUGGUGGGGGUUGGAAAGUUUCGGCGGUUGGGGAUGGACUCGCGGCUUAUCAGCUUGUUGGUGGGGUAGUGGCUUACCAAGGCUUUGACGGGUAGCCGGCCUGAGAGGGUGACCGGCCACAUUGGGACUGAGAUACGGCCCAGACUCCUACGGGAGGCAGCAGUGGGGAAUAUUGCACAAUGGGCGGAAGCCUGAUGCAGCAACGCCGCGUGCGGGAUGACGGCCUUCGGGUUGUAAACCGCUUUCGCCUGUGACGAAGCGUGAGUGACGGUAUGGGUAAAGAAGCACCGGCUAACUACGUGCCAGCAGCCGCGGU